rnacentral:lncRNA from 1 species
UGCGAGCAGGGACAAGCUGGGUGCUCACUCAUGGCAUCUUAUCUGUUGCAGAUAGUCCACUGUGUGCAGAGGCAUGGGAGUUGUCAUGUCGAGAACAUGCUAGACCUCAGUGUCCUUGAGGGAUGCCGCCUUGGGUCUGGAAAUUGUUAGAGGAAACCCCAAGAGGUGCAGGCACUGAGCCUCUCAGGACAAUGACCUGGGGUCCCAGCUCCCCUGGAGGGGCCUCCUCAUGAUUGUUUGGGGCUUGAUCACAGACCAAGAGUGACGAGUGAUGUCACCCUGUGACUCAUGGCCGGACCUUCUUGCCCCUAUUGUCUCAGCACAACAUUAUUUGACUUUUCCCUCAGCGUGGGUGGGCAGAGGAAAAGCCCUGUGGCUCUGGGGACUUGGGAUCCGGAGUUGAAGACCCUUCAGCUGGCUCUGCCCUGCCAGUGCCACAGAGUGCCAUGGCCCAGGAAGACAGGUUUUCUUCCAUCUAGGCCAGGCCAUCCAGUGGCCAUCCUCCGUGUCCUCCCGCCUCCUCCUGGUGUGACUUCUGAAAACCAAGAAUUUGUUCCUGUUGACUUUUUCUGUGCUAUGGACCAUUGUCCUCUCACCCACUCAAUAAAUCUUGAAACAUGC